rnacentral:rRNA from 1 species
UACGAAGGGGGCUAGCGUUGCUCGGAAUUACUGGGCGUAAAGCGCACGUAGGCGGCUUUCUAAGUCGGGGGUGAAAUCCUGGAGCUCAACUCCAGAACUGCCUUCGAUACUGGAAAGCUCGAGUCCGGGAGAGGUGAGUGGAACUGCGAGUGUAGAGGUGAAAUUCGUAGAUAUUCGGAGGAACACCAGUGGCGAAGGCGGCUCACUGGCUCGGUACUGACGCUGAGGUGCGAAAGCGUGGGGAGCAAACAGG